rnacentral:rRNA from 1 species
GAUGAACGCUGGCGGCGUGCCUAAUACAUGCAAGUCGAGCGAACGGACGAGAAGCUUGCUUCUCUGAUGUUAGCGGCGGACGGGUGAGUAACACGUGGAUAACCUACCUAUAAGACUGGGAUCACUUCGGGAAACCGGAGCUAAUACCGGAUAAUCUUUUGAACCGCAUGGUUCAAAAGUGAAAGACGGUCUUGCUGUCACUUAUAGAUGGAUCCGCGCUGCAUUAGCUAGUUGGUAAGGUAACGGCUUACCAAGGCAACGAUGCAUAGCCGACCUGAGAGGGUGAUCGCCCACACUGGAACUGAACCACGGUCCAGACUCCUACGGGAGGCAGCAGUAGGGAAUCUUCCGCAAUGGGCGAAAGCCUGACGGAGCAACCCCGCGUGAGUGAUGAAGGUCUUCGGAUCGUAAAACUCUGUUAUUAGUGAAGAACAUAUGUGUAAGUAACUGUGCACAUCUUGACGGUACCUAAUCAGAAAGCCACGGCUAACUACGUG